UACGUAGGGUGCAAGCGUUGUCCGGAAUUAUUGGGCGUAAAGAGCUCGUAGGCGGUUUGUCGCGUCUGCCGUGAAAAUCCGGGGCUCAACCCCGGACUUGCAGCGGGUACGGGCAGACUAGAGUGUGGUAGGGGAGACUGGAAUUCCUGGUGUAGCGGUGAAAUGCGCAGAUAUCAGGAGGAAUACCGAUGGCGAAGGCAGGUCUCUGGGCUGAUACUGACGCUCAUGCACGAAAGCGUGGGGAGCAAACAGG
rnacentral:rRNA from 1 species